GCCUCGGUAGUGUAAUGGAUCAGCACCCGCAGACCGGAUAUCUGUAAGUGCAGGUUCGAGUCCCGACUGAGGUU
rnacentral:tRNA from 1 species